UGGGGGAUAUUGGACAAUGGGCGCAAGCCUGAUCCAGCCAUGCCGCGUGUGUGAAGAAGGCCUUCGGGUUGUAAAGCACUUUUGGCNGGGAGGAAGGNNUUNNGGUUAAUACCUNGANGNAUUGACGUUACCCNCAGAAUAAGCACCGGCUAACUCCGUGCCAGCAGCCGCGGUAAUACGGAGGGUGCAAGCGUUAAUCGGAAUUACUGGGCGUAAAGCGCGCGUAGGCGGUUUGUUAAGUCAGAUGUGAAAUCCCCGGGCUCAACCUGGGAACUGCAUUUGAAACUGGCAAGCUAGAGUCUGGUAGAGGGGGGUGGAAUUCCAGGUGUAGCNGUGAAAUGCGUAGAGAUCGGGAGGAACACCGGUGGCGAAGGCGGCCCCCUGGACCGAUACUGACGCUCAGGUGCGAAAGCGUGGGGAGCAAAC
rnacentral:rRNA from 1 species